rnacentral:lncRNA from 1 species
CAGCCCCUCACCUGCCGCCGCGGCCGCCUCUUCUGCUCCGACGCCUGCAGCCUGCGCCAGGGCUCGUCCUCCUCCUCCAGCGCCUCCGACUCCUCCGACUCGGCCUUUGCUUCAGCUCCGUCCCCGGACUCGACGCCCCUGUCCCGAGCUGGCCCGGCCAGCAGGACCACGCCGGGGUCCGGUGGCCCCUCGGCUCCAGGGGGCUGCAGGCAGCGCGUGGAAGGGGCUGAGGCGCUUUUGGAUCAGGCCCCUGUGCAUCCUGCGUUCAGGAGCCCAGAGGACCACGGAGCAGCUGCCAAGGAGCGGAGCAGCGAUGCUGUGCACGCAGGACCACCAGCCACCCACCCCUCCGCCCCCCAGCCCAGCCCAGAGGGGCCCAACGAGCCUGGAGCCUUGGGCCACCCACAUUUGGGGGGCCCUGACCCCCGAACACCCAUGGGCCAUGGAAACCCCCCCUCCCGAGCGGGCACGUCCCCCCCCCGGCACAGCCCCCGGCCGGAGCACAUCGACCUGCAGGACAUCACGGAGGAGGAGGACUCCUGGUGUCCCACCUGCUCCUCAUCUUCGGACUCGGACUCGGAGGAAGAGGGUUUCUUUUUUGGGAAGCCCAUCCCCAAGCCCGGGAUGAAUUCCCUGGGCAGGGAGCCCCCGGGGAAGGCUGGGGGCAGGACGGCCAAGCCCCGGGGCAGCAGCAAACACUGCAGUGUGUCCUAGCAGUGGGGACACGGGGUCCCUGACGUCCUGCCAGCCCCUGCUGGGUGCUGCCACGGUCUCAACAUGUUCCAAGUGCGUUUUGGACGUGGCCCAAGGCUGGUGGGAGAAGCUGCUGGGAUCCUUCCCCCCCGGCAGCUGCUGGCAAAGCACAGCCUGCAAUUCCUGCCGGCCUCUCCCGCAAUUAGGAACAGGUAAAGCAGGAAGGGAGCAGAGCUCACCUGGGCUCCAGCACCUCAGACAUGGCAGCAGCUCCAGGGAGAGCAGCCGGUGCUCCUGACAAGGGCAGCUGCCUGCACCAGACCUCUGGGCCAGGGUCGGAUCCUUUGGAUCCUUCCCUGGGACUCCUCCUUGCAGGAUGAGCACCACUGCCACGUGCUCUCCAUCUCUGGUGCCACCACGUCCUGGUGGCACCGCGGGGAGGGACCAGGGGGGCAGCUCUGCUGCUGCCAGUGACAAAGCUCCAAUAAAGUUUGGCUGAAAUCUGAACGC